rnacentral:rRNA from 1 species
AUACCGGCGGCCCGAGUGGCGGCCACUAUUAUUGGGCCUAAAGCGUCCGUAGCCGGGCUGGUAAGUCCCCCGAGAAAUCUGGCGGCUUAACCGUCAGACUGCCGGGGGAUACUGCCAGCCUAGGGACCGGGAGAGGCCGGGGGUAUUCCCGGGGUAGGGGUGAAAUCCUGUAAUCCCGGGAGGACAACCUGUGGCGAAGGCGCCCGGCUGGAACGGGUCCGACGGUGAGGGACGAAGGCCAGGGGAGCGAACCGGAUUAGAAACCCGAGUAGUCC